AGAGUUUGAUCCUGGCUCAGAACGAACGCUGGCGGCAGGCCUAACACAUGCAAGUCGAGCGCCUUGGCAACAAGGAGCGGCAGACGGGUGAGUAACGCGUGGGAAACUACCCAGUGGUGCGGAACAACCAAGGGAAACUUUGGCUAAUACCGCAUGUGCCCUUCGGGGGAAAGAUUUAUCGCCAUUGGAUGUGCCCGCGUCGGAUUAGCUAGUUGGUGAGGUAACGGCUCACCAAGGCGACGAUCCGUAGCUGGUCUGAGAGGAUGAUCAGCCACACUGGGACUGAGACACGGCCCAGACUCCUACGGGAGGCAGCAGUGGGGAAUAUUGGACAAUGGGCGCAAGCCUGAUCCAGCCAUGCCGCGUGAGUGAUGAAGGCCCUAGGGUUGUAAAGCUCUUUCGACGGGGAAGAUAAUGACGGUACCCGUAGAAGAAGCCCCGGCUAACUUCGUGCCAGCCGCCGCGGUAAUAC
rnacentral:rRNA from 1 species